rnacentral:rRNA from 1 species
GACGAACGCUGGCGGCGUGCUUAACACAUGCAAGUCGAACGGAAAGGCCCUGCUUUUGUGGGGUGCUCGAGUGGCGAACGGGUGAGUAACACGUGAGUAACCUGCCCUUGACUUUGGGAUAACUUCGGGAAACUGGGGCUAAUACCGGAUAGGAGCUCCUGCUGCAUGGUGGGGGUUGGAAAGUUUCGGCGGUUGGGGAUGGACUCGCGGCUUAUCAGCUUGUUGGUGGGGUAGUGGCUUACCAAGGCUUUGACGGGUAGCCGGCCUGAGAGGGUGACCGGCCACAUUGGGACUGAGAUACGGCCCAGACUCCUACGGGAGGCAGCAGUGGGGAAUAUUGCACAAUGGGCGGAAGCCUGAUGCAGCAACGCCGCGUGCGGGAUGACGGCCUUCGGGUUGUAAACCGCUUUCGCCUGUGACGAAGCGUGAGUGACGGUAAUGGGUAAAGAAGCACCGGCUAACUACGCG